CCCCCCCUCCUCUCCCCAAUCCCUCUUAUCCCUCGCAUGUCCCGAUUCCCCUUUCUUCCCCAAAUUCGUCUUCUCCAUUUUCGUUCUUACUGCAAACCGAAUUCAAAGGCACCCUUUUCUCCUGGCGUCUUCUCCUUUGCUUAUGUGCUCAGUCUGUUUCUCUUUCUCUUCUCUCUCUCUCUCUCUUUCUCUGCUUUGAAAACGCCCCCCCUUCUCCCUCUCUUUUCAAGAUUGUCUCUGCUCAGAGCCAUGUUUGCUCUGUGUUUGCUUGGAAGAAGCUCCCAAAAGAAAGAGCAGAGGAGAAUCGUCUCUAGUGAUGCCCUUGUUUCCCAGAUUUUAGUUGCCUCUGUUUCCCAGAUCUGCUCGCAAACCCUUUUUUCUUUUUUAAUUUAUUUCCAUUCUUGUGUCCUUCUGCUUCGCCAAAAUCUAGCAAAUUAAAUUGUAUGUCUGCUCCUGCAGAAGAUGCUGCCGAACAGUCAAGAGAAAGUUGGGAUGCUAAAGUUAUGGAUUCAAGUGGGACAAAAACAUUUGGCACUAAGAUGCCCGAUAGCAUCUAGAGAAGGGAGGAGGUAGGAAAUGUGGAAGAUGAUGAAACAGAGGAAUGUCUUACUCGUCAGCAAGCUUAUGGGUCAUAUGGCAAGAAAUCCUGGAGAUAUGUUUUUCUGAUGGACAGAUUAUCUUGAACAACCUCCUUGAGGGAAAGGACCCCAACCUCCAGAGCAAGAUUUUGGAAUAAAAUAUAACACAAUAUAUUGGACAGCAUGAAUCAGAGCUGGCUGUGAGGGUUAAUUUUGCUGCUCAUGAUGGAGAUUCUAAUCGCCUAAAACGUUUGAUCAGAGCAGGAGCCAAUCCCAGCAAGGCAGAUUAUGAUGGUAGAUCACCUUUGGUAUGGAUUUUAGAAGGCUAAGUUGAAUUUUACUAUUCUUUGACAAUAAGGCAGUGGAAUACUGUCACUCAUAUUUUUACAAGUUUAGAUACUUCAUACCCUUUCCUCCUUGCUGCAUCUAAAUUAUGUAAACUGGCAACUUUU